AACGAACGCUGGCGGCGCGCCUAACACAUGCAAGUCGAACGAGAAUCCGGGGCAACCCGGUAGUAAAGUGGCAAACGGGUGAGGAAUACAUGGGUAACCUACCCUUGAGAAGGGAAUAACCCGCCGAAAGGUGAGCUAAUACCCUAUACGCUAUCUUUUUUUCGAAAGGAAUAGGAAAGCCGGGUCGAGGACCUCGGUACUCAAGGAGGGGCGUCAUGUCCUAUCAGCUUGUUGGUGGGGUAACGGGCCUACCAAGGCUACGACGGGUAGCUGGUCUGAGAGGAUGAUCAGCCACACUGGCACUGAGAUACGGGCCAGUACNCCUACGGGAGGCAGCAGUGAAGAAUAUUGCGCAAUGGGCGAAAGCCUGACGCAGCGACGCCGCGUGGGGGA
rnacentral:rRNA from 1 species